rnacentral:tRNA from 1 species
UAGAAAAUAAUAUAAUGGAAGUAUGGAGGGCUUUGAUCCCUUUUGUGCAGGUUCAACUCCUGCUUUUCUAA